CUUCUACUUCUUUCAUUUCCUGUCACUUACCUUGUUUGUGAAUGUGAUAUUGUAUUGUUGAUGAUGGAUUUCCAAGUUGUCAGCUUCCCUUUCUUGACAGCAUAUCAAUAAGUAACCCCCACGAGAACUGUCUCUUAUAACUUCAGAUGAUAUCAGGGACUCAGGUGUAUGUUCAAGGGUUAUCAUAAGGAUGAUGUGUUAGGAAUCCAAUUAUUGGCUAGUUUAGCCAGAUGGAGAGCAUGGAGGGUCAGAUGAAUUUUAGCUGCUAACUGCUGCAGUCUGCAUUACAAACUUUUCAAGCUCAACUAUCAGGGGUUUGCUUUUUCCUUGUUAUAAAAACAAAUAGUUAAAUGAACUGCAAACAAAAAAGGUUCAAUGUAAGGAUUAUGAAAUAUUGAACUGUUGCAUAAUCAAUUGGUGUUUGAUUGCUCU